AUUGAACGCUAGCGGCAGGCUUAACACAUGCAAGUCGAACGAGUGGCGUACGUGUUAGUAAUGCUUGUGCAUCUUUCUUAUGGAUGGGGAUAACUACGGGAAACUGUAGCUACUACCGUGUUCCAUAGCAUGAGCCAAAGUGGGAUUAGGUAGGUGGUGAGGUAAAGGCUAACCAAGCCGCCGAUCUCUACCUGGUCUGAGAGGAUGACCAGUCACACUGGGACUGAGACACGGACCAGACUCCUACGGGAGGCAGCAGUGGGGAAUAUUGGGCAAUGGGGGAAACCUGACGCAGCCAUGCCGCGUGAAUGAAGAAGGCCUUCGGUUUGUAAAGUUCUUUAGGUAGCGAGGCGUGAACUACAGAAGAAGCACCGGCUAACUCCGUGCCAGCCGCCGCGGUAAUAC
rnacentral:rRNA from 1 species